rnacentral:misc_RNA from 1 species
UUUCCGUAGGUGAACCUGCGGAAGGAUCAUUAAUGAGUUGUCAUGGGGUUCGAUGCUGGCAGCCAAUUUUUGGAUGCAUGUGCUUGCCCUAGCAAUCAUCUUCCAAACACCUGUGCACAUUUUUGAGGGAGUCUUGAGUUGGUUGCCGCUCUUGGGUGAUUUUCUCACAUUCCCUUAAAUCAUUAUACGCUAUUAACAAUGUUGAACGUGCUCUGUGCCGCAAGGCUAUUAAUAUAAUACAACUUUUAACAACGGAUCUCUUGGCUCUC